CGGCACUCUGGAUGGACUGCCGGCGACAAGCCGGAGGAAGGUGGGAUGACGUCAAGUCAUCAUGGCCCUUAUGUCCAGGGCGACACACGUGCUACAAUGGCCGGCACAGCGGGAAGCGAGGGGGCGACCUUGAGCGGAUCCCUCAAAGCCGGUCUCAGUUCGGAUUGCAGUCUGCAACUCGACUGCAUGAAGUUGGAAUCGCUAGUAAUCGUGGAUCAGCCAAGCCGCGGUGAAUACGUUCCCGGGCCUU
rnacentral:rRNA from 1 species